UCCUUGGAGGGAACGAAAGCAAGGUUUUCUCGGCAUGCCAUUUGGCCCACAUGCUGUAUGAAGCCAAGGUGGAUGGAUUCGGGGGCGUCUCCUUGGCUGACUAUUUCCUCAACGAAGACUUAUCAGAUGAUAUUGAAUGUCUUAAGAGACACAUCAUUGAAUAUAAAGGCCUGGGAACUUGGUCACAUUGGAGAGACCACUGUAAAGACAAAAAUAUUCAUCACUACAUUGAGGAUUGUGGGCUCGAUAUCUAGGAACCAUGAUCUAAAAUUGUGGAAAUGUUCCCUUUCCCUUGUUCAGUUGGAUUUGACAUUUGUGGAUCAGAUUAUCUGCAGAUUCAGUAUAUAAACAUCCUCUCUCUGGAA